ACAGGAUUCCCCUAGUACUGCGAGUGAAGCGGGAAAAGCUCAAAUUUAAAAUCUGGUAGUCUCUGGCUGCCCGAGUUGUAAUCUAGAGAAGUGUUAUCCGCGCUGGACCGUGUAUAAGUCUCCUGGAAUGGAGCGUCAUAGAGGGUGAGAAUCCCGUCUUUGACACGGACUACCAGGGCUUUGUGAUGCGCUCUCAAAGAGUCGAGUUGUUUGGGAAUGCAGCUCUAAAUGGGUGGUAAAUUCCAUCUAAAGCUAAAUAUUGGCGAGAGACCGAUAGCGAACAAGUACCGUGAGGGAAAGAUGAAAAGAACUUUGGAAAGAGAGUUAAACAGUACGUGAAAUUGUUGAAAGGGAAACGCUUGAAGUCAGUCGCGUUGGCUUGGAAUCAGCCUUGCUUUUGCUUGGUGUACUUCCUUGUUGACGGGUCAGCAUCAAUUUUGACCGGUGGAAAAAGGCUAGUGGAAUGUGGCAUCUUCGGAUGUGUUAUAGCUGCUAGUUGUAUACAUCGGUUGGGAUUGAGGAACUCAGCACGCCGAAAGGUCGGGGUUCGCCCACGUUCGUGCUUAGGAUGCUGGCAUAAUGGCUUUAAUCGACCCGUCUUGAAACACGGACCAAGGAGUCUAACAUGCCUGCGAGUGUUUGGGUGGAAAACCCGAGCGCGUAAUGAAAGUGAAAGUUGAGAUCCCUGUCGUGGGGAGCAUCGACGCCCGGACCAGACCUUCUGUGACGGAUCCGCGGUAGAGCAUGUAUGUUGGGACCCGAAAGAUGGUGAACUAUGCCUGAAUAGGGUGAAGCCAAGAGGAAACUCUGGUGG
rnacentral:rRNA from 1 species